UACGAAGGGGGCUAGCGUUGUUCGGAAUCACUGGGCGUAAAGGGCGCGUAGGCGGCUUUUCAAGUCGGGGGUGAAAGCCUGUGGCUCAACCACAGAAUUGCCUUCGAUACUGUUAGGCUUGAGACCGGAAGAGGUGAGUGGAACUGCGAGUGUAGCGGUGAAAUGCGUAGAUAUCAGGAGGAACACCGGUGGCGAAGGCGGUGGUCUGGGCCGGCACUGACGCUGAGGAGCGAAAGCGUGGGGAGCGAACAGG
rnacentral:rRNA from 1 species